GACGAACGCUGGCGGCGUGCCUAAUACAUGCAAGUAGAACGCACAGUUUAUACCGUAGCUUGCUACACCAUAGACUGUGAGUUGCGAACGGGUGAGUAACGCGUAGGUAACCUGCCUGGUAGCGGGGGAUAACUAUUGGAAACGAUAGCUAAUACCGCAUAAUAUUGAUUAUUGCAUGAUAAUUGAUUGAAAGAUGCUAUUGCAUCACUACCAGAUGGACCUGCGUUGUAUUAGCUAGUAGGUGAGGUAACGGCUCACCUAGGCGACGAUACAUAGCCGACCUGGGGGGGUGAUCGGCCACACUGGGACUGAGACACGGCCCAGACUCCUACGGGAGGCAGCAGUAGGGAAUCUUCGGCAAUGGACGAAAGUCUGACCGAGCAACGCCGCGUGAGUGAAGAAGGUUUUCGGAUCGUAAAGCUCUGUUGUAAGAGAAGAACGGGUGUGAGAGUGGAAAGUUCACACUGUGACGGUAUCUUACCAGAAAGGGACGGCUAACUACGUG
rnacentral:rRNA from 1 species